UACGUAGGGGGCGAGCGUUGUCCGGAUUUAUUGGGCGUAAAGAGCGUGUAGGCGGCCAGGUAGGUCUGCUGUGAAAACUCGAGGCUCAACCUCGAGACGUCGGCGGAAACCAUCUGGCUAGAGUCCGGAAGAGGAGAGUGGAAUUCCUGGUGUAGCGGUGGAAUGCGCAGAUAUCAGGAGAACACCCGGUGGCGAAGGCGGGCUCUGG
rnacentral:rRNA from 1 species